rnacentral:rRNA from 1 species
AACGAACGCUGGCGGCAUGCCUAACACAUGCAAGUCGAACGAGACCUUCGGGUCUAGUGGCGCACGGGUGCGUAACGCGUGGGAACCUGCCCUUAGGUUCGGAAUAACUCCCCGAAAGGGGUGCUAAUACCGGAUAAUGUCUUCGGACCAAAGAUUUCUCGCCUUUGGAUGGGCCCGCGUUGGAUUAGCCGGUUGGUAGGGUAAAAGCCUACCAAGGCGACGAUGCAUAGCUGGUCUGAGAGGAGGAUCAGCCACACUGGGACUGAGACACGGCCCAGACUCCUACGGGAGGCAGCAGUGGGGAAUAUUGGACGAUGGGCGAAAGCCUGAUCCAGCAAUGCCGCGUGAGUGAUGAAGGCCUUAGGGUUGUAAAGCUCUUUUACCCGGGAUGAUAAUGACAGUACCGGGAGAAUAAGCUCCGGCUAACUCCGUG